GGGGACCCGCACAAGCGGUGGAGCAUGUGGUUUAAUUCGACGAUACGCGAAGAACCUUACCUGGCCUUGACAUAGAAAGAAUUUAGCAGAGAUGUAAAAGUGCUAGUUUACUAGAGCUUUCAUACAGGUGCUGCACGGCUGUCGUCAGCUCGUGUCGUGAGAUGUUAGGUUAAGUCCUGCAACGAGCGCAACCCUCGUGUUUAGUUACUAACAGAUUAUGCUGAGGACUCUAGGCAUACUGCCUGGGCAACCAGGAGGAAGGUGAGGACGACGUCAAGUCAUCAUGGCCCUUACGGCCAGGGCUACACACGUGCUACAAUGGGGUAUACAAAGAGCAGCGAUACCGCGAGGUGGAGCAAAUCUCAUAAAAUAUCUCCCAGUUCGGAUUACACUCUGCAACUCGAGUGUAUGAAGUUGGAAUCGCUAGUAAUCGUAGAUCAGCAAUGCUACGGUGAAUACGUUCCCGGGUCUUGUACUCACCGCCCGUCACACCAUGGGAGUUGAAUUCAUUCGAAGC
rnacentral:rRNA from 1 species